rnacentral:rRNA from 1 species
CCAGCCGCUCAGAACUUAAGGAAUGACGGGGCCGCACAAGCGGAGGAACAUGUGGUUUAAUUCGAUGAUACGCGAGGAACCUUACCCGGGCUUGAAAUGCAUCUGACCGGCCUUGAAAGAGGUUUUUCCCCUUCGGGGCAGAUGUGUAGGUGCUGCAUGGUUGUCGUCAGCUCGUGCCGUGAGGUGUCGGCUUAAGUGCCAUAACGAGCGCAACCCUCAUCAUUAGUUACCAUCAGGUAAGGCUGGGGACUCUAAUGAGACUGCCAUCGUAAGAUGUGAGGAAGGUGGGGAUGACGUCAAAUCAGCACGGCCCUUACGUCCGGGGCGACACACGUGUUACAAUGGGUGGUACAAAGGGCAGCUACCUGGCGACAGGAUGCUAAUCUCCAAAACCACUCUCAGUUCGGAUCGGAGUCUGCAACUCGACUCCGUGAAGCUGGAUUCGCUAGUAAUCGCGCAUCAGCCACGGCGCGGUGAAUACGUUCCCGGGCCUU